rnacentral:rRNA from 1 species
UACGUAGGUGACGAGCGUUGUCCGGAUUUACUGGGCGUAAAGAGCGCGCAGGCGGUCGUUCAAGUCGAGUGUGAAAGCCCCCGGCUCAACUGGGGAGGGUCACUCGAUACUGAUCGACUCGAAGGCAGGAGAGGGUAGUGGAAUUCCCGGUGUAGUGGUGAAAUGCGUAGAUAUCGGGAGGAACACCAGUGGCGAAGGCGACUACCUGGCCUGUUCUUGACGCUGAGGCGCGAAAGCUAGGGUAGCAAACGGG